rnacentral:tRNA from 1 species
UAGGGUGUAGCUCAGUGAUUAAGCAUUUGCCUAGCAUGCUGAAAGCCCUGGGUUCCAUCCCCAGCACUGCAA